GGCUCGGUGGCAGAGCGGUAUGCAGCUACACAUUGUGUGAUGGAGUCCAUGUCGUCUGUAGCAGAUGCCUGUUCGAUUCGGGCCCGAGCCA